rnacentral:rRNA from 1 species
UACGUAGGGUGCGAGCGUUAAUCGGAAUUACUGGGCGUAAAGCGUGCGCAGGCGGUUUUGUAAGCCAGAUGUGAAAGCCCCGGGCUCAACCUGGGAAUUGCAUUUGAGACUGUGUAGCUAGGGUGCGGAAGAGGGAAGCGGAAUUUCCGGUGUAGCGGUGAAAUGCGUAGAUAUCGGAAGGAACAUCAGUGGCGAAAGCGACUUCCUGGACCAAUACUGACGCUCAUGUGCGAAAGCGUGGGGAGCAAACAGG